rnacentral:misc_RNA from 1 species
GAUGAAGAACGCAGUGAAACGCGAAAGGUAAUGCGAAUUGCAGAAUCAGUGAGUCAUCGAAUCUUUGAACGCACAUUGCGCCCUUUGGUAUUCCGAAGGGCACGCCUGUUCGAGCGCCAUUACACCCUCCAAGCUUUGCUUGAUGUUGGACGGUGCGUCAGUAAGUUACUGACGCACGUCUGGAACGUGUAGGCGUCCGUCAUGUCGAGACACCUCGAGCGUAGCAAGACUUUCAAGUCAUUUUCGCUUUGUAGGAACUCCAGCGGACUGCCCCUCUGAUUUAGGGAGUCAACGCCCUAAUCAAUUUCAAGAGUUUGGCCUCGGAUCAGGCGGGGAUACCCGCUGAACUUAAGCAUAUCAAUAAGCGGAGGA